CAUUCAAAAUCCAUGCAAUUCUAGAGCCUCUAGCUCAAUUCUCUAUCGCUGACGUGGAAAUAUAAUUCCACAUGUAAUAUUUUAUUUUAAAACAAUAUAUUUUAUUUUCAUUUUACAUUUAAUAUUCAUCCCUAAUCCUACGCCACCUCCAUUCUAACAAUGAAUACAAAAUCUGCAAAAACCAUGAAAAACACCUCCAUACGAACAAUGUACCAAAUCUGCAAAAACCAUGAAAACCAGUCACCCAACCACAAUUCGCCGCAAUUCCCACCGCCAUCGCUGCCUUCAACAGCUGCAAUCUGCUUUGUCGGACCACUCGGCCCCCCUUCCUCCCAACACUGUGAUCUGUCCCACCGCGCGAUCUGCCCCUCCUGCCGCCUCGAUCUACUGCUCAAGCCCUAAUUCGUCCCAAAUCUGCAAAGGUGACGAGAGGAGGGGGCAGGCCGACGAUACCCUACGGCCGCGAUGGCCGCGAUGGAAGGGUUUGUUGCUGUCGGAGGCUGCGGUGACGAGAUGAGAGGGCAGGCCGACGAUUCCCUACGGUCGCGACGCCGCCGAUCUUCGCCCCUUCUCCGACACUCUCAACACUAAUAUGGAAUUGAUCUGCCCCCUCCAUCUUCCCCCACGCGAUCUGCCCCUCCCUUCCCCCACCGCGAUUCGCCGGCAGCCUCCGCGAUCUUCUGUAAUUCUUUGGUAAGUAUUAAAUUAGUUUCCUAAUUUAAUAACGCGUUGACUAUUGUACAUAUAGAAUGAUUAUUAUUUUAGAAAGAUCAAAUUUUGGAAAGAAUUUUUACAAUGGAAACUUAUAACCUAGAUUUUUAGCUAUAAAUUCCUUAGUAAAAAUGAUUUAGGUCCCAUCGUGUUUUUACGGCCAACCCAAGGUAUCUAUAUUCUUCUUUUCCUCCGUUUUUUUUUUGUUCAUUGGUAUAUUGAUCUUUCGCAAAUUAUAGUUCGUGGAUUUACAAGAAUAUAGUGUCAGCUUUUUGUUUGCCAGCUUCUUGAGGUGUCUGGUUCUGAUCUAAUGGGAAGAGUAACCCUUAAUUCAAUCAGUGCUCCAUCCAGUAAAAGUUAUGCGAAGACAUUACUUUCUGGAUUUGUUGUGAUUUUAUCUCCAACCUGUGAAUUCUAUGUCAUGAGCCUCCAUAUUAAUUAAUGUUAAGUGUUUGGGAGGAGAAUGUCCCAACAAAGGACCCUAAAUAUACUCUCAGUUUAGGGAUAAUCAACUUUUUGUAUUCUUUUGAAUUGAUAUGUCAUUUUGGCUUGUGAAUAGGAAGACCUAUUUAUAUCUUAUUACGUCACUAAUUCAAAUUUGAUUACCAUGUGAAUCUAAUAUUGUAGAUCAUACUCCCUAAGUCCAAUUUAUGAGGCUAUCGCUAGGCCAUUUGAGUCGGUCCCCAUUGGCAUAGGGAAAGAUGACUGUGAGAUCACAUGGUGAUUCAAUUUCAGAAGCCAAAACAGCAGAUGAAAAAGUUCAGUCCCCAUCCUUAAAGUAUUGGGGGCUAGCAUCUAUCAAGUUCUUCAAGAAUGACAGCGGGCACUAAGAAAAAUUCCCUGCUUUUAAGGUAAAAUCUUCUUCCCCCUGUCUGAGCCGCAAGUAUUUGAUUUGGAAACCACGUCGUGUAGGUUAUGUUAUCUUGCUCGAGGAAGAAACGGAGAGUGCUCGGUUGUUCCGCUUGGCUGUUGCAAUACGAAGAGUUGGUUGGGAUAAGCUAAAGGUGCUGUCAGUUAAAUUCUUCUGUUAUUUUUAGCUUUUUUCUGGUUUGUCUUUCUUUUGGGGAUAUGAGAAUCAUUAAUAGCUGAUGAAAUUGGACCUUUGUGUUU